UACAGAGGUCUCAAGCGUUGUUCGGAUUCAUUGGGCGUAAAGGGCGCGUAGGCGGCGGGGUAAGUCGGGUGUGAAAUCUCAGAGCUCAACUCUGAAACUGCACUCGAUACUGCUUUGCUAGAGGACUGGAGAGGAGAUUGGAAUUCACGGUGUAGCAGUGAAAUGCGUAGAUAUCGUGAGGAAGACCAGUGGCGAAGGCGGAUCUCUGGACAGUUCCUGACGCUGAGGCGCGAAGGCCAGGGGAGCAAACGGG
rnacentral:rRNA from 1 species